CCUACGGGUGUCAGCAGUGAGGAAUAUUGGUCAAUGGGCGGGAGCCUGAACCAGCCAAGCCGCGUGAAGGAAGAAGGCGCCAGGCGUCGUAAACUUCUUUUGUCGGGGAACAAAGGGCGCCACGCGUGGCGUUGUGAGUGUACCCGAAGAAAAAGCAUCGGCUAACUCCGUGCCAGCAGCCGCGGUAAUACGGAGGAUGCGAGCGUUAUCCGGAUUUAUUGGGUGUAAAGGGCGUGUAGGCGGGAGCGCAAGUCAGAUGUGAAAACUCAGGGCUCAACCCUGAGCCUGCAUUUGAAACUGUGUUUCUUGAGUGCUGGAGAGGCAAUCGGAAUUCCGUGUGUAGCGGUGAAAUGCGUAGAUAUACGGAGGAACACCAGUGGCGAAGGCGGAUUGCUGGACAGUAACUGACGCUGAGGCGCGAAAGCGUGGGGAGCAAACAGGAUUAGAUACCCGAGUAGUC
rnacentral:rRNA from 1 species